rnacentral:rRNA from 1 species
AUGCAAGUCGAACGAGAAGUCUCCUUCGGGAGGCGGAGAGUGGCGCACGGGUGAGUAACACGUGGGUAAUUUACCUUAGGGUGGGGAACAACAGCCGGAAACGGCUGCUAAUACCGCAUAAUGCAGCGGCUCGACAUCGAGUAGCUGUUAAAGCGGGGGAUCGCAAGACCUCGCGCCUGAAGAGAAGCCCGCGGCAGAUUAGCUAGUUGGUAAGGUAAUGGCUUACCAAGGCAACGAUCUGUAGCCGGCCUGAGAGGGCGGUCGGCCACACUGACACUGACAUACGGGUCAGACUCCUACGGGAGGCAGCAGUCGGGAAUUUUGGGCAAUGGGCGAAAGCCUGACCCAGCAACGCCGCGUGAAGGAUGAAGCAUCUCGGUGUGUAAACUUCACAAGAAUGGGAAGAAUAAGUUCAGGACAAUACCCUGAAUGAUGACGGUACCAUUUGUAAGCUCCGGCUAACUCCGUGCCAGCAGCCGCGGUAAUACGGGGGGAGCAAGCGUUGUUCGGAUUUACUGGGCGUAAAGGGCGCGUAGGCGGCGUGACAAGUCACUUGUGAAAUCUCCGGGCUCAACCCGGAACGGCCAAGUGAUACUGUCGUGCUAGAGUGCGGAAGGGGCAACUGGAAUUCUCGGUGUAGCGGUGAAAUGCGUAGAUAUCGAGAGGAACACCUGCGGCGAAGGCGGGUUGCUGGGCCGACACUGACGCUGAGGCGCGAAAGCUAGGGGAGCGAACGGGAUUAGAUACCCCGGUAGUCCUAGCCUUAAACGAUGAAUGCUUGGUGUCCGGAGUUAGAUAGUCUCCGGGUGCCGUCGCUAACGCUUUUAGCAUUCCGCCUGGGGAGUACGGUCGCAAGACUGAAACUCAAAGGAAUUGACGGGGACCCGCACAAGCGGUGGAGCAUGUGGUUUAAUUCGACGCAACGCGAAGAACCUUACCUAGCCUAGAAUGCUCUUGACAGCCCUAGAGAUAGGGUUUCUUGGGUAAAACCAAGCAAGAUGCAAGGUGCUGCAUGGCUGUC